rnacentral:rRNA from 1 species
UGGGGAAUCUUGGACAAUGGGCGCAAGCCUGGUCCAGCCAUGCCGCGUGAGUGACGAAGGCCUUAGGGUUGUAAAGCUCUUUUGCCGGGGACGAUAAUGACGGUACCCGGAGAAUAAGUCCCGGCUAACUUCGUGCCAGCAGCCGCGGUAAUACGAAGGGGACUAGCGUUGUUCGGAAUUACUGGGCGUAAAGCGCACGUAGGCGGAAUUGUCAGUCAGAGGUGAAAUCCCGGGGCUCAACCUCGGAACUGCCUUUGAUACAGCAAUUCUCGAGUCCGAUAGAGGUGAGUGGAAUUCCUAGUGUAGAGGUGAAAUUCGUAGAUAUUAGGAAGAACACCGGUGGCGAAGGCGGCUCACUGGAUCGGUACUGACGCUGAGGCACGAAAGCGUGGGGAGCAAACAGGAUUAGAUACCCCCGUAGUCCCUGAGCGGGCUGGCAAGGCGCAU